GUUAUUAAAUAUUAAAGUAUAAAAAUGAAGUUGGGCCCUGUGUCCUUGUGUUUAUUCAUGGACUUUAUCUUUUCCUAUUAAUGACUACAUAUAUGCAAAAAAUUUCUAUAGACUGUUGUGUACUGGAAUGGAUGACAUAAAAAUACAAGAUCCAUUAGUGAAUCGGGGCUGGGAUUAUAUGUUGACAAAGGUACCAUAGGUUAAGUGGAAUAGUCAAAUAAAAAUUUUCAGAUGAAGUUUGUUCACAGUUUGUUACACUGUUACACAGAUGUUUUCAAUGGCUGCUGAGGACAUGGGUACCCGGUUCAGCAAUUUGUGACGUCAUGGCCAUAAAUAUUCUUCUUCUUCCUGUUUUAAGACUAAUGGUAAAGGACACAGGCAAAGGACCCCAACCUGGUAGUGUACAUUCCAUCUUGUGGUUUCAAUGGCCAGGUCAGAGAGUGGCCUCAUAGGACCGAGAAUCGAGGGUUGGAACCGAGAGACAGAAGAGUAGCUUUCGACGAAUGGUCCCUCAUGCCGGUCUG